rnacentral:pre_miRNA from 13 species
AAGUCCUGGGCUGUCUCAGAGCCUGGAGUGGGGGGGCAGGAGUGGCUCAGGGAGAAAGCGUGUAAAGCCCCUGGCCCUCUCUGCCCUUCUGUCCCCUGUCCCUGGACACACUGUGCCCAGCC